rnacentral:rRNA from 1 species
GACGAACGCUGGCGGCGUGCUUAACACAUGCAAGUCGAACGGAAAGGCCCUGCUUUUGUGGGGUGCUCGAGUGGCGAACGGGUGAGUAACACGUGAGUAACCUGCCCUUGACUUUGGGAUAACUUCAGGAAACUGGGGCUAAUACCGGAUAGGAGCUCCUGCUGCAUGGUGGGGGUUGGAAAGUUUCGGCGGUUGGGGAUGGACUCGCGGCUUAUCAGCUUGUUGGUGGGGUAGUGGCUUACCAAGGCUUUGACGGGUAGCCGGCCUGAGAGGGUGACCGGCCACAUUGGGACUGAGAUACGGCCCAGACGCCUACGGGAGGCAGCAGUGGGGAAUAUUGCACAAUGGGCGGGAGCCUGAUGCAGCAACGCCGCGUGCGGGAUGACGGCCUUCGGGUUGUGAACCGCUUUCGCCUGUGACGAAGCGUGAGUGACGGUAAUGAGUAAAGAAGCACCGGCUAACUACGUG